AGGUAUGUAUCCCCUCAAAAGAGCAAAAGUAGAAUUAGACGUUCACCAUUGUUAUCACCAUCAUCACCAUACACCAUUCAUUCGCCACACAUGCACAUCUUGAUUUGACUUAUUGACAUGUUCUUCUGGAUCCAUGGUUUGACUAUGCAAUAAAUGUCUUGUAAGUAUGUAUUAGCUGUCUCCCACCUAUGAGCUCCAGAUAUCAAAACCUUAUUAGAGUAGGGUGAGAGAGAAGGCAAUGCCACUAUGCCUCAUACCAAAAAUACCACAUACUUUGAGAGAAGGCAUACACCUUUACUGCCUUGGUAAGGAUCCAAAAAUACCACAA
rnacentral:lncRNA from 1 species